rnacentral:misc_RNA from 1 species
GUAGGUGAACCUGCGGAAGGAUCAUUACAGUAGUCACCCGGGUUGCCGCAAGGCCUCUCGGGUAACCUACCACCCUUUGUUUAUUACACUUUGUUGCUUUGGCAAGCCUGCCCUCGGGCGGGGGCUCCGGGUGGACACUUCAAACUCUUGCGUAACUUUGCAGUCUGAGUAAACUUAAUUAAUAAAUUAAAACUUUUAACAACGGAUCUCUUGGUUCUG